rnacentral:lncRNA from 1 species
AUUCUUUAAAACAAAGCUAUCCCAAAUUGUGGAAAAAAACUUUCUAGAAAGUUCAUUUUUCCUCCCAGGAAAUUCCAAUCUAUCCAGCUAUCAUCUAUGCUCACUUUAAAAAGGUCAUACAUAUGUAAGUUGUAUUCUAGACAGAAUAAUGUAUUAGGAAAUGUUUAGUUUUUUUAAAUAAAAUAUUUCAGAAUUUCAGAUUAAUAGCUUUCUACUUUAGUUGUAGUGACUUCAAUACAUGUAUCCGAGUUUCUAUUCAGGAUGCUAAUAGCAAAACCCAAGUAGCAACAUAUCUAUGAACUGCCAUUCUACUAUGUGUAAAUACACACUAUAUUUUCUUAUGAUCCAUGGUCAUAGCCUUUCAAGUUAUUUGUGAUGAGCAUGUUUGCAUUAUAAAAGGUUGCAUUUUCAUAUGCUUUUAAAAUUGUGUUGAAAUUAAAUUAGGUGAAAUGGUUCAUUAGCAGUCAUGAUGGAAAUGAUCGUUUGCAUGAUUUUUUUUCUGGUUUCACAGAGAGCAUGCAUAAUUUUUGAUGGAUUUCAUAGACUCAAAUAAUUUAUAAGUUUUUAUAAAGUAAUCCCAAGUUUAAUGUAAUUAUUUCUGAUUAUUUCAAAUUUUUUGCUUCCAGGUAUCAAUACUGAAGUAGACUUUUGUCUCCUCUACUAGCAGUGGUUCGGGCAGUGUUGAGCUCCCAGUCAUAUAAAGGAGUAGAGGCUUCUGCUUUCUCCCCAUCACAGUUGCAUCCAUUCCUUUGCCUGUUACUACAUAUUUUGAGAUACUCUAAUGAAAUUCAAAUAAAUUUAGAGUGCUGCUGGGCAACUGUAUACGUUGUGUAAAAAUACAUUCCUCUGUCGUCUUCUGACCCAGGAGAUACAUCGCUAACAGAUUACGAAUCGAAGAUGAAGAUCCACACCUUGACUGUGAUGGUUGAAUACUUCCUAUUAGCUCCGCUAACUCAGAGGAAAACACAUGCUUCUCCAUUUACUUUACCAGAUCCCUACGAAACACAAAUUCAUAACCUUUAUUCUCAUUUUUAUGACUUUCCAUAGCAGACUACGUUAAAGAAUACUUUUUUCUUGGAAGAUACCAUCUCCCUUUAUGUUUUCAUUACAUAGAUGUGCAAAUGGCAAACUUUUCUUAGCAGCUGGCUCAAAAGCGUAGACCCCUCCCUGGCGCAAUAAGAAUGGCCUCAUCAUCUUCUGUGCAAACUGCUAGAAG